rnacentral:rRNA from 1 species
CUGCAUGGCUGUCGUCAGCUCGUGUCGUGAGAUGUUGGUUAAGUACCGCAACGAGCGCAACCCUUGUCAUUAGUUGCCAUCAUUUGGUUGGGCACUCUAAUGAGACUGCCGGUGACAAACCGGAGGAAGGUGGGGAUGACGUCAAGUCCUCAUGGCCCUUAUGGGUAGGGCUUCACACGUCAUACAAUGGUCGGUACAGAGGGUUGCCAACCCGCGAGGGGGAGCUAAUCCCACAAAGCCGAUCGUAGUCCGGAUCGCAGUCUGCAACUCGACUGCGUGAAGUCGGAAUCGCUAGUAAUCGUGGAUCAGCAUGUCACGGUGAAUACGUUCCCGGGUCUU